rnacentral:rRNA from 1 species
AUGACGGUGGCAGCGGCGGGCGCGGGCAGGCGUUACGCGCUGUUGCUGGCGGUGAACGACUCGGACUACGCCAGGAAGGCGCACGGCGGGUACCGGAACGUGUUCUUCCGCGCCCUCCGCUCCGGCGAACCCGACGAGGCGUGGGACUGCUACCGCGUAAUCGACGGCGAGUUCCCAGCAGCGGAGGAUCUGGGCAUGUACGACGGCUUCGUGGUGAGCGGCAGCCCGCACGACGCCCACGGCGACGGCGCCCCGUGCUGGGUCCGCCGCCUCUGCCUCCUCCUCCGGACCGUCCACGCCAUGGGGAAGCGCGUCCUCGGCGUCUGCUUCGGCCACCAGGCCCUGUGCCGCGCGCUGGGCGGGAGGGUCGGGAGGUCGCCCAGCGGCUGGGACGUGGGGGUGAAGGAGGUGACCUUCGUGGACGAUCUGGAAUGGCCGUUCGAGUUCUUGCCCGUGGAACCACCCCGGAGCGCCUCCAUCAUCGAGGUUCACCAAGAUGAGGUGUGGGAGGUACCGCCCGGUGGCAAGGUGCUGGCCUACUCCGACAAGACGCGCGUGGAGAUGUUCGCCGUCGGCGACAACGCCCUCGGCAUCCAGGGCCACCCGGAGUACACCAACGACAUCCUGCUCAACCUCACCAACCGGCUCGUCAACAACAGCACCAUCGACGGGUGCGUGGGCGAGGACGCGCGGAGGACUGCGGAGAGCGGCGAACCGGACCGCGAGUUCUGGAGUGGGCUCUGCAAGGCCUUCCUGAAGGGAUCAGGAUGCGCCGGCGGUGGCGGCCCCAGGCCGCCGCCGCAGGGACCGGCGGCGGAGCUUAGCUGCAGCCACCACGUCGCUCACUUCCCUGCCACCGGCUCCCUCAUUGGCUUGUAG